rnacentral:rRNA from 1 species
UACGUAGGGGGCUAGCGUUGUCCGGAUUCAUUGGGCGUAAAGCGCGCGUAGGCGGCCCGGUAAGUCUGCUGUGAAAGUCCAGGGCUCAACCCUGGAAUGCCGGUGGAUACUGUCGGGCUAGAGUGCGGAAGAGGCAAGUGGAAUUCCUGGUGUAGCGGUGGAAUGCGCAGAUAUCAGGAGGAACACCGAUAGCGAAGGCAGCUUGCUGGGACGACACUGACGCUGAGGCGCGAAAGCGUGGGGAGCGAACAGG